rnacentral:tRNA from 5 species
GCGGGGGUAGCUCAAUUGGUAGAGUGUCAGCCUUCCAAGCUGAAUGUUGCGGGUUCGAGCCCCGUUCCCCGCUCCA